rnacentral:rRNA from 1 species
AACGAACGCUGGCGGCAGGCCUAACACAUGCAAGUCGAACGCCCUAGCAAUAGGGAGUGGCGCACGGGUGAGUAACGCGUGGGAACGUGCCUUUCAGUCUGGAAUAACUGCGGGAAACUGUAGCUAAUACCGGAUAUUCUCUACGGAGGAAAGAUUUAUCGCUGAAAGAUCGGCCCGCGUUCGAUUAGGUAGUUGGUGGGGUAAUGGCCUACCAAGCCUACGAUCUAUAGCUGGUCUGAGAGGAUGAUCAGCCACACUGGAACUGAGACACGGUCCAGACUCCUACGGGAGGCAGCAGUGGGGAAUAUUGGACAAUGGGCGCAAGCCUGAUCCAGCCAUGCCGCGUGAGUGACGAAGGCCUUAGGGUUGUAAAGCUCUUUUGUCAGGGAAGAUAAUGACGGUACCUGAAGAAUAAGACACGGCUAACUUCGUGCCAGCAGCCGCCGUAA